rnacentral:misc_RNA from 1 species
GAUGUUUGAGGCCUUGCAUAUCUCCAAACAAGUAUUCUAAAUUUUCAGCAGAUGAACACUGCUUCAAGCAGCUGCAGGGUUUUCAUGGAGUUGAAAGAACUAUAUAUUCUGAGUUGCUACUGUCUUCUUCCAAUAAAAAAAGGAGUUCGCUUGAAUGUGUCUAUAGGAUCUGGUGGGUUUUAGUAACAAGAAUUAAGAUGUCUGAUCAUGAAUAUAUCAAUAGAGUUCACAAUGAAACAAAUUAAAAUACUCCCAUAACAUCACCAAUGAACUUUAGCUCGCUGUUACUAAAGUCAUGUUCAGGGCUGUGAGGUAUUGAGUUCAAGCCUCAGUAAGAGCC